rnacentral:snRNA from 1 species
UUUGCUGUUUUGUAUUUCUGUAAUUCAAAUAAGAGUAUCUGUUCAUAUCAGCUUAAUUUCUGGUAUGAAUCUCAAGUUGGUUUGACAGAAAUUUGUAUAACUGUUUGAAAAAAUAGACAUUUGGUAGCGUGCUUGCACCGAAAUUUGUUGGGUCGUGGGUCGGCCUGACAUUGCACUACAUUCAGGAAUGGCCUAUGCUUC